AGAGUUUGAUCCUGGCUCAGAACGAACGCUGGCGGCGUGGCUAAGACAUGCAAGUCGAACGGACUAUUCAAUUGAGUAAUCGAGAGAAUAGUUAGUGGCGAAAGGGUUAGUAAUGGAUAGGUAACGUACCUUGUGCUCCGGGACAGCGUCGUUCGCCUUCGGGCGAACUACCGAAAGGGGCGGUAAUACCGGAUAAUAUCAUUUGUCGAUGGGCAAAUGUUCAAAGAUUUAUCGGCAUAGGAGCGGCCUAUCGCCUAUCAGCUUGUUGGUGAGGUAACGGCUCACCAAGGCGGCGACGGGUAGCGGGACUGAGAGGUUGGCCCGCAACAUCGGGACUGAGACACUGCCCGGACCUCCACGGAGGGCUGCAGUAACGAAUCUUGCGCAAUGGGCGAAAGCCUGACGCAGCGACGCCGCGUGCGGGAAGAAGUCUUUCGGGAUGUAAACCGCUGUCAGGGCUAUGAAAGUCCGCUUCGGCGGAUUGAUCUGGCCCAGAGGAAGUCACGGCUAACUUCGUGCCAGCAGCCGCGGUAAGACGAAGGUGGCGAGCGUUGUUCGGUGUUACUGGGCUUAAAGAGUGUGUAGGCGGAAAAGUAAGCGUCUUGUGAAAGCCCCCGGCUUAACCGGGGAACUGCUGGACGAACUGCUUUUCUUGAGGCAAGUAGGGGUGCAUGGAACUCUUGGUGGAGCGGUGAAAUGCGUAGAUAUCAAGAGGAACGCCAGUGGUGAAAACGGUGCACUGGGCUUGUCCUGACGCUGAGACACGAAAGCGUGGGGAGCGAACGGGAUUAGAUACCCCGGUAGUCCACGCCGUAAACGAUGUCUACUAGUUGUGGGAGUUCUGACGCUCGCACGGCCGAAGCAAAGUGUUAAGUAGACCGCCUGGGGAGUACGGCCGCAAGGCUAAAACUCAAAGGAAUUGACGGGGGCUCACACAGCGGUGGAGCAUGUGGAUUAAUUCGAAGCACGCGUAGACCUUACUGGGUUUGACAUGCUUGUAUGCCGCUUGGAAACAGUUGCUGCCCUCGGGUGAAACUGCCAGGUGCUGCAUGCUGUCUCAGCUUGUCGUGAAAUUCGUUAGUCCCUACAGCGAACCCUGCGUUA
rnacentral:rRNA from 1 species